UUUAUUCUCAAGGAAGAAAAGGCUUCUGAUGUUAGGUCCAGAGGUCUAGCAUUCGUUGCUCAUUGCCAGCAACCCACCCACAGCUGCCACAUUACAUAAUGCAGAUAUUCACACAAAACCAUUCUUUCAAAGCUCAAGUAAACAGAAGCCCAUGCUGGAAAAGCGAACAAAAAAGGCUCACAAAUCUAGCUGGAAGAAACUGCACAAUGAUGUUGUGGAUGAGGCAGCUGGCUUAGAAGGAUUACAUGAAUAGAUGGGAAGCAGUUCUGAGGGUAUAACUUGUGGAAGACAGCUAUCACAGCCAGUGCUUUUUUUCAUCUGGAUCGCGCCAGAGUUCAGUUCCAGCACCUCUCAGGUGAGGCGUUUACAUCUGAGGCGGCCAUUGCUCAUGCGCGGAUGACAGCUUCAUGAACAGGAAUCUGGCGAGACGGUGCUGCAGGGGCAGGGAAACUAAACAGAAAUCCUGGACAAGCUGAAGAGGUGAGAGCUGUGAGCUGCAUCGGGAGAACAGGUGGCUUUCCCCCCUUUGUGUUAUCUGCCAUCUGGGCAGGUUCACUCAAAAGAUUUGCCUCUGCUGGAGACGUGUGUGGGUCUCCUUCAUGUGGUUUGUUUCUCAUGGAGCAAAGGCGAAAAUUGGCACGACUGCUCCGCUCCACAAACACCUCCACUUUCUACCCGAGCGCCCAGCUUUCAUCUGCUCUGUCUGGGCUGCGACUUUGAUGUAGAGUUAAAGCAGCUCUGAAACAAUAUCUGGAGCACUUGUAGAAAGGCAUCCAAGGGUGAAAACACACUGCAGGAACAAGAGCUCAGCAUCACAGUUCGUGGAAACUGCUAAAAAGAAUCUCCAUGUUGUGUGCCUUCCUGUACUAAGUGGAUAGACCGGUUAGGAUAGAGAUGAUGGUUUAGAUUAAGGUGUGUGGGGUGGGGGACCAUGCAACUACUUCUACAUGCCCCAGGGAGCGUCAUAAGCAGUUUGCGAUUUGGCAUUACUGAGGUGUGUGUGUGUCUGCUGCUUAAGGAAAGAAAGUCAAAAUUCCGCAGGGCAUGCCAGAGACUGUGGUGUGUGCACCUAGAGUAGUCCUUUGAAUAGUGGCCAGUGUGUAAUUGUAUCAGAAAAGCAAAUGGGAUCGGGGCCAAACUGUUAUAAUGGCUUUCAGCUCAUGGUGUUUGUGGUUUUCCUAGAGAAUAAUCGUUACUAGAAAUUGGAGUGUGUAUGAAAUAUUCAUGCACACACUUGGAAGUGAGUUGAAUGAGGAGACACUGGCUCUUUUGCAGCAUGCACAUCCUGCUAGCUUUCACUUGUCCGUUCCUUGAAAUCAGGGGUCUAGUUUUGCUUCCCUAAACUAGAACUGAAAUGAAGGGUAUGUAGACAUGAGCGGUUUCAAACAUGGAGGUAGUAUCCCCCUCACCAUGUUUUACAUUGCAUUUGUACAGUGGUACCUCGGGUUACAUCCGCUUCAGGUUACAAAUGAUUCAGGUUACAGACUCAGCCAAUAGUACCAGAAAUAGUACCUCGGGUUAAGAACUUUGCUUCAGGAUGAGAACAGAA
ensembl:lncRNA